rnacentral:rRNA from 1 species
UGCGUAGGUGGCGGGGUAAGUCAGGUGUGAAAUUUCGGAGCUUAACUCCGAAACUGCAUUUGAUACUGCCUUGCUUGAGGACUGGAGAGGAGACUGGAAUUCACGGUGUAGCAGUGAAAUGCGUAGAGAUCGUGAGGAAGACCAGUGGCGAAGGCGGGUCUCUGGACAGUUCCUGACACUGAGGACGAAGGCCAGGGGGAGCGAAACG